GACGAACGCUGGCGGCGUGCCUAAUACAUGCAAGUCGAGCGAACCAAUGGGAGCUUGCUCCCUGAGGUUAGCGGCGGACGGGUGAGUAACACGUGGGUAACCUGCCUGUAAGAUUGGGAUAACUCCGGGAAACCGGAGCUAAUACCGGAUAAUAUUUUGAACCGCAUGGUUCAAAAUUGAAAGACGGCUUCGGCUGUCACUUACAGAUGGACCCGCGGCGCAUUAGCUAGUUGGUGAGGUAACGGCUCACCAAGGCGACGAUGCGUAGCCGACCUGAGAGGGUGAUCGGACACACUGGGACUGAGACACGGCCCAGACUCCUACGGGAGGCAGCAGUAGGGAAUCUUCCGCAAUGGACGAAAGUCUGACGGAGCAACGCCGCGUGAACGAUGAAGGCCUUCGGGUCGUAAAGUUCUGUUGUUAGGGAAGAACAAGUACCAGAGUAACUGCUGGUACCUUGACGGUACCUAACCAGAAAGCCACGGCUAACUACGUG
rnacentral:rRNA from 1 species